rnacentral:tRNA from 1 species
GGAGAGGUGUCCGAGUGGCUGAAGGAGCACGACUGGAAAUCGUGUGUACGUUAACUACGUACCGAGGGUUCGAAUCCCUCUCUCUCCGCCA